UAUUCUCUAUCUUUAGAUCCUACUCACCAGUCCUUUCUUCUGAAGCCUUCUGAAUAGAAGUCUGGUUGGAGUCUGGUUGUUGCUCUGUUAAUAAUGGAAUAAUAACGUUUUAUAGGACAACAACUAAAAAAGUAAGAGCCUGCAGAAGUUGUGAGAACAGCUGGGGACAGCUGGAGGACUUCACACAGGCCUUCACUAUCUUGAUCCACGUGUUUAGACACUGGUCCCUCAUCUGCCCAUGGAGCCUGACCAUAAUGUAUCUCAGAGGAGCUGUCAUCCUGGCUUGGGGUGAUUGAGUAGCACCCCCAGAGCCUGUUUUCUCAUCUCUGAAGUGGGAUGGUGGUC
rnacentral:lncRNA from 1 species